rnacentral:lncRNA from 1 species
GAAACUAUUAAUCUCUCUUGACAUUUUUUAUCAACUGUCCCAUCUGUUCUAUUCUUUUGACAACAGCACUGCCCAAUAUUUCAUUCUUUGCUAUCUGCUUUUAGAAACAAGUUCUCUCCCAAUCUUCUUAGUUUGGGUUUCUUGCCCAUUGUUCUUCUGCUCUCAUAUCACAGUGAAUCGGUUCCUCAUUCUCUAGGUAAUUUCUCUCGCUAUUCUGUAGUGCCUCAUUUGCGGUAUUAUGGGCUUUUGUGUUUUUUUGUUUUCUGUAUGUGUUUGAACUCGAUCUUCUGGAAAUAUGGUUUCUUGCUCUGGAUAUCUCUGAUAAUUGCUCCAAUAACUAAGUAAUCAGUUGCAGUUGAAUGACAUUUCUUGAUUACUGUUAAUGAAUCGCCCAUUAUUUGUAUUUCUUGUAAACCCAUUUCGAUACCUAACUUGACUGCUUCUAACCCUGCAAAUGUUUCCGCGGCAAACAGAGAAGCAACAUUGCGAUGAAUAAUCGAUUUCAAAGCCAAUACCUCCUUCUUCAGACCCCUGACCACCAACCCCGACGAUGAUUUGAACUCUCUGUUGUUGAACACAACAUCAAACUGGAUCUUCACGGUCGGUAAGUCUUUCACAUUUCUUUAAUUUUGCACUGUAUGUGAUAAAGUCGACUUAACUUUAAUCCCUUUGUAUUCUGCCAUGUGGUUCUGAAUUUUUCGUGCAAGUUCUCUGCUCGUUGUGUGUACCCGUUCAUGCAAAAGUUGAUUCCUUGAAUGCCAAAGUAUCCAUAAGACAUAACAAAAAUAUCUGCAUUGUUCGUUUGUUCCUUAUUUGAAAACCACGGUGAGCCACUCCUAGAAAUUUUGAUGCACGAAAGUUGUGACCCAAGUAAGGUUUAAUAGCUGCCAGACCUCUAUGCUUGUGGAACAUUGCCGAAAAAUAUGAUGACAAUCUUCAUUUUCAUAACAUACCUAGGGCAUCUGGCAUUUGUCACUAAUCUUCUAUGCCGGAGAUUGCCCAAAGUAGGAAUGUAAUUCCAUGAAAUACGCCAGAUUAUGAUUGUAAUCUUAGACGGUAGUUGUAGUUUCCAUAGUUUCUAAAAAAUUUCUUGGUUUCGAUCUGUAACAAAUAAUGACUAGGAUUCAGAUUAACAAUUUGUAAUAGUUUAUAGGCGCUACGGACUGAGUAUUCCUCUGUUGGUUCGCCCCUCCAGACUUGGAAGUCCUCGUGCACUGAUUCCGAUAGUGGGAUCUGUAGGAUUGUGCGAGCAACCUCCGGGUGAAAGGUGUUGUUGAUCAGCUCUUCUUUUCAUUUCCUAGUUGUAGUAUCAAUAAGAUCCGAAACAAAUUCUAGUUGCAUACUAUCUAACUUGUUGUACCUUUUCAGUGAUUCCAUUUCUUGGACCCAUCGAUCAUUCCAGAUGGAUACUUUGUUCCCUUUACCGAUUCGCUAGCUUAGGCUUUGUUUAGCUGCCCAAAUGCUCUUCUAGGUAAGUGAAGGUAAAGUUCCUAAUUGAACCUCUAAGAAAGUCAAAUGCGAAUAAUAUUUUACUUUUAAAACCCUGACUAGUAAUGAAUUAGGAUAAUGAAUCGAAUGCCAUCUUUGUUUAGCAAGUAACGUAACAUUAAAUUGACUCAAAUUUCGAAAGCCUAGGCCGCCAUUCUCUUUUAAAAAACAAAGAUUUUUCCAAGUACACCAAUGAAUUCCCCUUUUCCCAUGUCCCUUCUGCCACCAAUACUUCGUUAUAAUAUUUUCAAGAUCAUCACAAAGGGAAUUAGGUAAUAGAAAACAUGCCAUCGUAUAAGUCGGAACUGCUUGAAGAAUUACUUUAAUAAAGACUUCUUUACCUCUUUGCGAUAAAAACUUGGUACUCUAAUUAUCAAUACGUUUUUUAAGGUGGUCCUUCAAAUUCUG